rnacentral:rRNA from 1 species
AUGUCCUUUUGAUUUUAAUUUAAGGUUUAAUCUGCUCAAUGAUAUAUUUAAAUUGCCGCGGUAUUUUAACUGUGCUAAGGUAGCAUAAUCAUUAGUUUUUUUAUUGGAAGCUGGAAUGAAUGAUUGAACGAGAGGACUACUGUCUCUUUAAUAAUUAUUAUUUAAUUUAACUUUUAAGUGAAAAGGCUUAAAUUUUGUUCGAAGACGAGAAGACCCUAUAGAUUUUUAUUAUUUUUUAAUUAAUUUUAGUUUUUAGUAUUUAUGUUAUUGUUUAUUUAGUAAUUUGGUUGGGGUGACUAUAAGAUUAAAUUAACUCUUUAAAUUUUAAGUCAUUGAUUUAUGAAUAGUUAAGUCUUUAUUUUUAAUUUUAAAUUAAAUUACCUUAGGGAUAACAGCGUAAUUUUUACUUAAAGUUCUUAUUUAAUUAAAUGAUUGCGACCUCGAUGUUGGAUUAAAAUUUAUUUUAGGUGUAGAAGCUUAAUUAUUAAGUCUGUUCGACUUUUAAAAUUUUACAUGAUCUGAGU